AGCACGGUGGCCGAGUGGUUAAGGCGUUAGACUUAAGAUCUAAUGGACACAUGUCCGCGUGGGUUCGAACCCCACCCGUGCUA
rfam:Soboliphyme baturini genome assembly, scaffold: SBAD_scaffold0000323